CCUACGGGGGUCAGCAGUGGGGGAUAUUGCACAAUGGGGGGAACCCUGAUGCAGCGACGCCGCGUGGGUGAAGAAGCGCCUCGGCGCGUAAAGCCCUGUCAGCAGGGAAGAAAAUGACGGUACCUGAAGAAGAAGCCCCGGCUAACUACGUGCCAGCAGCCGCGGUAAUACGUAGGGGGCAAGCGUUAUCCGGAUUUACUGGGUGGAAAGGGGGCGCAGACGGCGAUGCAAGCCAGGAGGGAAAGCCCGGGGCCCAACCCCGGGACUGCGCUUGGAACUGCGUGGCUGGAGUGCAGGAGGGGCAGGCGGAAUUCCUGGUGUAGCGGUGAAAUGCGUAGAUAUCAGGAGGAACACCGGUGGCGAAGGCGGCCUGCUGGACUGCAACUGACGUUGAGGCCCGAAAGCGUGGGGAGCAAACAGGAUUAGAUACCCCAGUAGUC
rnacentral:rRNA from 1 species